rnacentral:lncRNA from 1 species
GGGUAGGGAAGCUCCAGUACCACCAACUGGAAAGACUGGGAAUGCCUAGUAGCUGGUACUGGCCAUUGUCGUAGGCUUUGUCCACUUUGACAAACUGAAGACGGGGACUCGACUCACCUUCGCCAGCCACAGGAGGACCUCCAGACGAGGUUAGGUCGACUUCAUGGUAACUUUAGAUCUUGAAACCUCACAGGAUUUUUCUUCUCUUCCCCUUGAUCUCUCUUCCGCUUACUCAACAGGACCGGACUCGCCGCCUUUCUUUCCCGUCAGAAAGGGAUCCCUUGCGGACAAGACCGAAGUGAGUAGCUGGUUUCCCCUACGUGUCCUUCCGGGGCUGGGUGUCUCGGGAGCUCAGGCUGACAGGAGACCUAACUACCGGCGACUGAGACCAGCAGGAGCCUGGAGGGGCGCGCACCAGGGUGGAGGUUUGGUGCCGGGGGUUGAGAACAACAGUCAAACCCUCUUCUUCCCUGUACCGCGCACCUGCCCCCUGGGAUGCCGAACGAAGUGGCCCCUAAGGCUUCUCUGCAGGUCCAACCGAAACAGGCCUGAAGUUCCAGGAUGGGCGAGAGGAUCCUCUUUGAGCGAAACCAGCCUUCUGCCUGGCUGGCCCUGGUCAACACACUCGGAAGAGGCCGAUUUGGAGGACAGAACGGAAGAAAAGACCUAAAGAUGAUCCUCAUCCAAUCACUUAAAGGCCUGAAUAGAACCAAAAGUCUGACCUGCCCAUGAGUAAGAGAGAGCUCCUUCUGCCUGAUUGCUUCAGCUGAGAUAUCAGCCUUUUCCUGCCUUUGGAAUUGAACUGCAACACUGGCUCUUCCUGGGCCUCAAGCCUGCCAGCUUUUGAACUGUAAUCACACCAUCAUCUCUCCUGGUUCUCAGGCCUUUGGACUCAAAUCAGAAACACACCAUGGGCUCUCCUGUGUCUCAAGCUUGCCAACUGUGAUCUUGAGACUUCUCAGCCUCCAUAAUCACAUGAGUCAAUUGUUGGUUCUGUUUCUCUGGAGAACCCUAAUCCAUCACUUUACAUAUUUCUUCCAUUACACAUAUUGUUUCCCAG